rnacentral:rRNA from 1 species
GUAGGCGAUGGACAACAGGUUGAUAUUCCUGUACCACCUCCUCACCAUUUGAGCAAUGGGGGGACGCAGGAGGAUAGGGUAAGCGCGGUAUUGGAUAUCCGCGUCCAAGCAGUUAGGCUGGGAAAUAGGCAAAUCCGUUUCCCAUAAGGCUGAGCUGUGAUGGCGAGCGAAAUAUAGUAGCGAAGUUCCUGAUUCCACACUGCCAAGAAAAGCCUCUAGCGAGGUGAGAGGUGCCCGUACCGCAAACCGACACAGGUAGGCGAGGAGAGAAUCCUAAGGUGAUCGAGAGAACUCUCGUUAAGGAACUCGGCAAAAUGACCCCGUAACUUCGGGAGAAGGGGUGCUCUGUUAGGGUGCAAGCCCGAGAGAGCCGCAGUGAAUAGGCCCAGGCGACUGUUUAGCAAAAACACAGGUCUCUGCGAAGCCGUAAGGCGAAGUAUAGGGGCUGACGCCUGCCCGGUGCUGGAAGGUUAAGAGGAGCGCUUAGCGUAAGCGAAGGUGCGAAUUGAAGCCCCAGUAAACGGCGGCCGUAACGAUAACGGUCCUAAGGUAGCGAAAUUCCUUGUCGGGUAAGUUCCGACCCGCACGAAAGGCGCAACGAUCUGGGCACUGUCUCAACGAGAGACUCGGUGAAAUUAUAGUACCUGUGAAGAUGCAGGUUACCCGCGACAGGACGGAAAGACCCCGUGGAGCUUUACUGCAGCCUGAUAUUGAAUGUUGGUACAGCUUGUACAGGAUAGGUAGGAGCCUUGGAAACCGGAGCGCCAGCUUCGGUGGAGGCAUCGGUGGGAUACUACCCUGGCUGUAUUGACCUUCUAACCCGCCGCCCUUAUCGGGCGGGGAGACAGUGUCAGGUGGGCAGUUUGACUGGGGCGGUCGCCUCCUAAAAGGUAACGGAGGCGCCCAAAGGUUCCCUCAGAAUGGUUGGAAAUCAUUCGCAGAGUGUAAAGGCACAAGGGAGCUUGACUGCGAGACCUACAAGUCGAGCAGGGACGAAAGUCGGGCUUAGUGAUCCGGUGUUUCCGCAUGGAAGGGCCAUCGCUCAACGGAUAAAAGCUACCCCGGGGAUAACAGGCUUAUCUCCCCCAAGAGUCCACAUCGACGGGGAGGUUUGGCACCUCGAUGUCGGCUCAUCGCAUCCUGGGGCUGUAGUCGGUCCCAAGGGUUGGGCUGUUCGCCCAUUAAAGCGGUACGCGAGCUGGGUUCAGAACGUCGUGAGACAGUUCGGUCCCUAUCCGUCGCGGGCGCAGGAAAUUUGAGAGGAGCUGUCCUUAGUACGAGAGGACCGGGAUGGACGCACCGCUGGUGUACCAGUUGUUCUGCCAAGGGCAUCGCUGGGUAGCUAUGUGCGGACGGGAUAAGUGCUGAAAGCAUCUAAGCAUGAAGCCCCCCUCAAGAUGAGAUUUCCCAUUCCGCAAGGAAGUAAGAUCCCUGAAAGAUGAUCAGGUUGAUAGGUCUGAGGUGGAAGUGUGGCGACACAUGGAGCUGACAGAUACUAAUCGAUCGAGGACUUAACC